UUUAAGGUUUCGCGUGGACGAUCGGAUACCUUCAACGAUGAAUGCCACCUUUCCUCGUUGAUGAACAUCGCAAAUGUAGCAAAAACGGAUGAGGAAUGAGCGAGAGAGAGAGAGCGAGAGAAAGAGAGAGCGAGAGAGAGAGAAAGACGUGCGAACGAACGAAGCGAGAGAGUAUAGUGCGAGAGAAAGAGCGCGAGAGGGGAGGGGUGUUCGGAGGUAGGGGGUGCUGUGUGGGACAGAGAAGAGAUGAUAAAAAGGCGGUGAGGAACGGCGAGUGUGUGAAACGAAGAACAAAAUUGUUCGCGCGCGGGAAUCAGCAGCGGUGUGUUUAAUCCUUUUGUGCUUGUGAUUUGCACGAAAAGGUCGUGAUUACCAGUGCGGAACGUGUGUUUUAUACCGCCGAAUUGAGAAUCUGCGUAUGAGAGUCAUUGAUAUAAAGUGUAUGAAAGGAAGAAAAUUUGUAGUACGGAAUGGCAACUUUGGCAGAGCAAGCAUCCAAGUUAUUGGACUUUAACCAGAAGUUAGAUAUAACGCUUCUUGAUAAUAUAGUGGGAUGUAUGUACACUGGAAUAGGGGAGCAACAAAGGGUUGCCCAGGAGGUAUUAACUACCCUUAAGGAACAUCCAAACGCGUGGACUCGCGUAGAUACCAUUCUAGAGUAUUCUCAGAAUCAGCAAACAAAAUAUUAUGCCUUACAAAUCUUGGAGCAAGUUAUUAAGACACGGUGGAAAGUACUACCUAGAAAUCAAUGUGAGGGUAUAAAGAAAUAUAUUGUAGGCCUCAUUAUAAAAACGAGUAGUGAUCCAGAAACAAUGGAUACUUCUAAAGUUUACCUCAACAAAUUGAAUAUGAUCUUAGUGCAGGUAUUGAAACGAGAAUGGCCAAAGAAUUGGGAAUCUUUCAUUAGUGACAUUGUUGGAGCAAGUAAAACAAAUGAAAGCCUUUGUCAAAAUAACAUGGCAAUUCUCAAACUUCUCUCAGAAGAAGUAUUUGACUUUUCUAGUGGUCAAAUGACACAAACAAAAGCUAAACAUUUGAAGGAUACAAUGUGUAGUGAAUUUUCACAAAUUUUUCAACUUUGUCAGUUUGUCAUGGAUAAUUCACAGAAUGUACCAUUAGUAGCAGUUACUUUGGAAACGUUAUUAAGGUUUUUGAAUUGGAUACCACUUGGAUAUAUUUUUGAAACUAAACUGAUAACUACUCUAAUAUUUAAGUUUCUAAAUGUACCAAUAUUUAGAAAUAUUACACUUAACUGUCUCACAGAAAUUGCUGCUGUUACAGUAACGAGUUAUGACGACAUGUUUGUUGCAUUAUUCAUAAAUACGAUGCAACAAUUAGAACAAAUGCUUCCACUCGAAACAAAUAUAAGAGAAGCAUAUGCAGUUGGACAAAAUCAAGAACAAAAUUUUAUACAAAAUUUGGCAAUGUUUCUUUGCACUUUUUUAAAAGAGCAUGGUCAAUUAAUAGAAAAGAAGCAAUUAAAUGAAACAUUAUUGAAAGCCUUGCAUUAUCUUGUGUUAAUCUCAGAGGUUGAAGAAGUUGAAAUAUUCAAAAUUUGUUUAGAGUACUGGAAUGGUUUAUUAGCUGAUUUAUAUAAAGAUCAUCCGUUUGUGGCACCUUCACCUUUGUUUAUGUCGAAGAGUAUGACAAUCUCACACAGAAGAGUCUUCUACUGUCCAGUUUUGACUAAAGUCAGAUAUAUAAUGAUUAGUAGAAUGGCUAAACCUGAAGAAGUUUUGGUGGUUGAAAAUGAACAUGGAGAAGUUGUACGAGAAUUUAUGAAGGAUACUGAUUCUAUUAAUUUGUAUAAAAAUAUGAGAGAAACUCUUGUAUAUCUUACUCAUUUGGACUAUGUGGAUACUGAACGUGUUAUGACAGAAAAACUUCAGAAUCAAGUUAAUGGUUCGGAAUGGUCUUGGAAGAAUCUCAACACGCUAUGCUGGGCAAUAGGUAGUAUUUCUGGUGCAAUGCAUGAAGAAGAUGAAAAAAGAUUUUUAGUAACUGUAAUUAAAGAUUUACUUGGAUUAUGUGAACAAAAAAAGGGUAAAGAUAACAAAGCUAUAAUUGCCAGUAAUAUCAUGUACGUUGUUGGACAAUAUCCAAGAUUUCUUAGAGCUCAUUGGAAAUUUUUGAAAACUGUUGUGAAUAAACUCUUUGAAUUUAUGCACGAGACCCACGAUGGAGUACAGGAUAUGGCCUGUGAUACAUUCAUUAAGAUAGCUUUAAAAUGCAGGCGACAUUUUGUUACAACACAGGUUGGUGAAGCAUUGCCAUUUAUUGAAGAAAUUCUUUCAACAAUUAGUAGCAUCAUUUGUGAUCUUCAGACACAGCAGGUACAUACAUUUUAUGAAGCUGUUGGUUAUAUGAUAAGUGCUCAGACAGAUACAUUAGUUCAGGAACAACUAAUAGAAAAAUAUAUGCAUUUGCCCAACCAAGUUUGGGAUGAUAUUAUAUGCCAGGCUUCAAAAAAUGUUGAUGUGUUGAAAGAUUCUGAAGCAGUUAAGCAACUUGCUAGUAUUUUGAAGACAAAUGUUAGAGCUUGUAAAGCUCUAGGACAUCCAUAUGUGAUACAAUUAGGAAGAAUAUAUCUGGAUAUGUUGAAUGUUUAUAAGGUUAUGAGUGAGAAUAUAAGUGCUGCAAUAGCUUUGAAUGGAGAGACAGUGAUGAAACAACCUUUAAUCAAGAGUAUGAGAGUAGUAAAAAAAGAAACAUUGAAACUAAUUUCAGAUUGGGUUAGCAAAUCUAUUGAUCCACAAAUGGUAUUAGAAAAUUUUAUACCACCGUUACUGGAUGCAGUAUUACUGGAUUAUCAAAAGACAAAUGUUCAUUGUGCUAGAGAACCAGAGGUACUUAGUGCUAUGGCUACUAUAGUAAAUAAAUUGGAAGCUCAUAUCACUAGUGAGGUACCUAAAAUAUUUGAUGCCGUGUUUGAAUGCACUUUAGAGAUGAUUAAUAAAGACUUUGAAGAAUUUCCCGAACACAGAACAAAUUUCUUCCUCUUACUACAGGCAGUGAAUAAUCAUUGCUUCCCUGCAUUUUUAUCGAUUCCACCAGCACAGUUCAAACUAGUGCUUGAUUCUAUUAUUUGGGCUUUUAAGCAUACAAUGAGGAAUGUAGCAGAUACAGGAUUGCAGAUCUUGUUUCAGCUUUUACGAAAUAUCGAGCAGCAUGAACAAGCUGCACAAAGCUUUUAUCAGACAUAUUUUACGGAUAUUCUUCAACAUGUAUUUAGUGUAGUAACAGAUACAUCGCAUACCGCAGGCCUUACAAUGCACGCUACUAUUUUGGCAUACAUGUUUACAUUAGUUGAGUUGGGAAGAAUACAGGUACCACUUGGACCUGUGCCUGAUAAUACAUUGUACGUUCAAGAAUUUGUAGCGAGGUUACUCAGGACUGCUUUUCAACAUUUGACUGAUAAUCAGAUUAAAAUAACAGUGCAAGGUUUGUUUAAUCUUGAUCAAGACAUCCCAGCAUUCAAAGAGCAUUUGAGAGAUUUUCUUGUACAGAUAAGAGAAUACACUGGCGAAGAUGAUUCUGAUCUUUAUUUGGAAGAAAGAGAAACAGCUUUACGAUUGGCUCAGGAAGAAAAAAGGCGACAGCAAAUGGCAGUACCGGGUAUUCUGAAUCCACAUGAAAUGCCAGAAGAGAUGCAGGACUGAAUAAACUGUAAUCCUUGCCUGAUAUUUGUGCAAGACCAAACGACAAACACUCUGCUGUAGAAACUAUUAUAUCUGCAACUACUCUCACAACUACCACCACCACCACUACUACCACUAGUACAGCCACCAUCAAAGAUUUUAAAAGAAAAGGAGUUUCUGUUGUGGAAAAAGUGUGAAUGCCUGCUUAGCGAUGCUAUUUCAUGUAUAAGAAGAGGGUACUUCUCAGAAUAAAUUAUUGACUGAUGUUUGUGUAAGAGAUGACGUUCAUCAACUGCCGAUAAUUAGUGGAUAGAAAGAACAUGGCAGAAUUUUGUAAUGGGAAGUUUGUUGCUAAGAGUGACAGAGUAAACAUUUUUUGUAUUAAUGCAACAGCACCGUACAUGUGACAACAAUGCAUUUAAUAGUGCUAUGUGAUAGUUGCAUCAUCUGGCUCAAUGAACACAGUAUACUAUACGACACUCUUACUUUUACAUAGGAGAAUUGUGAUGUACUGUGCUUUGCGAAAUCGUACUCUUUCUACAUUUUUGGUCGUAUGAGUCUGUUCUAAAAUAGAGAUUGAUAUGUAUGCGGAGUCAUGUGCGAUAAAUUCUGCUUAUACAUUGUCAAAUGAUUUUGUUACAAUAUAGACUCUACACACAGAGAAUUCUUUUUGAUUCAUUAUUAACUUAUGAUCGCGAAAGAAUUAAAAUUACAUCCUUUUAAUUUUAUAACUCAUAAAAUCUUGUCCUAAAAAUAUGAACUCUUUUUUUUUUUAAUUUCAAAUAUUAAUUGAUAAAUAUGAGCUUCUCCAUCACCUGCAGAAACUACGACUUAUAUUUUGCUGAGUUGCUCUCUUAUCCAUUUGCUACUGACUCUAGUAUCUAGUAGAGUAAAACAUUGUCUUUAAUUUUUUCCCUGUAUUUUUUUUAUUAUUUCUUUUUUAUAAAGGCAGCUAAUGUCUAUUGAUUUAUAUGUGCAUAUUCUCUAAAGGAUAUUAGAUUUUAGGUAUGAUACAUAAUUUGAUAAAUACAUAAAGAAGUACAAUUGACAUACACAAAAAAGAAAGAAGUAUAUAACUACCCCAAGAUAUUUACAUGUGAUAUACUAUUUCACGUACAUAUAGUAAACACUCGGCCAUCAGAAAAUAACAAAAAAUGCACAGAGCUAUGAUAUCUGCAUGACUUGAUGCAUUUAGGACAAGUACAAGCAAACUUUAAGUACAAUAAAGGAUAAAAAAUGAUUUUGCAUUAAAUAGUAUCGUCGUAGCAGGCUUUUGAGGUAACAUAAAUGUCCUAGAUGAAUGUGUGUUUUUAUCUGCGUGCAGUUGAACUAUAAUGCUAUUAUAGUGCAACAUAGUAAAGUGACGUUGUACUGUAAUAUUAUAAUACUAUUAUGCUGUAUAUAUGAUCCACUGCGGGCCGUGAAGUGGCAUCUUGUAAAUGAAAAUUAAUCACGAAAAUAUUAGCAUUUGUUUAUGCUCACUCUUGCUCAAUUCAUUGUAUAUUUAAAUACUUAAAAAUCGAUGAUUUUAAAGAUAUCCAAGUAAAGCUGUUCCACUUAUUAUUACGUUCCACUUAAUAUUAUAAGUUACAAAAUGGCAACCAUUUUUAAACUAUCGAAGGGUAAUAUUAGCUGGAAGGUGAAGUUUAUAAAGUGUACAAUAUAUGAAUCAAAAUUGAUGAAAUAUUUCUUUAAUAAUUAAUAUGCAACAUAUAAUAUGUAUCUUACUAAAUUACAUUUGUUAAGUUCAUUUAAUAUCGGGGCCAUUAAACAAUAAGUAUUCAAUCUGAUUCAGUUAGUUUCAAUAAUAAGUAGUACUGUACCUAAUAUUCAAUCUUAAUUAAAAUAUGAAUUCUUUAUUCUUUUUUUAUGUUAAGGGAACGUUUAUAGGUAUUUGAAUGCUCGUGACAGACAAAAGUUUUUCUUAAAAGAGAGAGAGAGAGAGAGAGAGAAAGAGCGCGCGCGAGAGAGAGAGAGAGAGAGAGAGAGAGAGAGAGAGAGAGAGAGAAAAGUGGGGUUUUAGAGAGUACAUAUAACAAGCAUUAAUUAGAUUUCCAAAGUAAAUAUAAAUGCAUCAAUUAUCAUUUUCAUUGUGUAAAAUUUAAAUAACAAGAAAGUAUAAAUAUUUUCUAUAAGUACUACACUCUUUUAUAAUGUGAUGUAGGAUUGUAUGAAGUCGGCACUUUUGAUGAAUGUUUCAACGUUCUUAUGCUUUUUAUAUGAUCUAGCACCUUCUAUGUGAUUCUGGUGUGACUGCAUAAUAUUUCAAUGUCUUACAUAAAUUCAGAUGUUAUGUAAAUGAUCUAUUGUAGUUCUAACUUAUCAAUGCUGUAAAUUACAUUAUAUGUCUUGAUUUAGAUACGUUUAAUAGUUCCAAGAUAUACAUGCUUGGUAUUGUCAUAUAAAAUGUGUUGGUGUAUCACUUCAAAUGUUAGCUAAAUGUUAUUUUUUCAUUAAUAAUUGCGAUUAAAAAUAGUUUACUAAAAUAUUCAUAACUUUAAAAAAGAAUAUAUUCUGAUUCUAUACAAUUAUUUCAUUUUAUUAAUUUUAUUUAUUAAUAAAUAAAUUCAAUAUAAUAUAAAUAUCAAGUAAUAACUUGUUUUGAUAGGUAUUUAGUAGGUUUAAAUUUUUUAUUUAAAUGGAUUUAGAAUACAGCAAAUUAAAAAUUAUAUAAAAAUAUAAAUCAAUAUUUAUAAAAGAUAUAAUCUUUUACUGAAAUCAUUACAAUGUGAUAAAUUUCUAUCCUAUAGAAAUCGUAGAUUCUAAAUAAUUAUAUAGAAUUUAUAGAGAAAAAGUUGUAUUUUGUUAUCAUUUAAAGUGAUACAUUUCAUGCAAAUUAAUUUUCAAUUCAUUACAGCACACAAGUAUCAAUAGAUUUACAAAUUAGUUUUUCACUAAACACACAGAAAUGUAACAGAGAUAGAUAUGCAGUUUCUUCCAUUUUCUAGAAUAAAAUAUCCAUUUGCAACUUUAUAAUAUCAUUUCAUUUUAUAUUAAAAUACUUAAUAAAUCUAAAAAGGACCUUUUUAUGUCUUUAGUUUUCAAAAAAAAAUAUUUAUUACUAAUAUUGUGUUCUUUUCUGUGGUGGAUGGAAUUGGACUAUAAUAAUUAAAUAAAAUAUAUAAUUAUGAUUUUCAUUUAAACAGAUUACCAUUGACAAUUAGUAUUAUAAAAAUGGAUCGGAAAGAAUCCCUGGGUAGAAUUUUCAUUCUAUCACAUUUGAUAAUGUUUACGGUGUUAAGCUGCUGAUGAUUAUACCAGAAUAGAUCAUCAAACUGGCGUUGAUCUAGCUGUAUUGUACCAUUACUUUUUAUAAGUUGUAUUUAUUUGCAAUUAACUAAAACCAAAUUGUACAAUUUUUCAAAAUAUUUGUUCUUUAUGCUAUCUGUACUUGUAAAAGUAGAGUUUAUAAAGAUAUAUAUUAUGUAAUAUUACAUAAAUGAAAAACAAUAAUUCAUUUUCAUUAAAAGAAUUUUUUAAAUGUUCGAAUUUACACGUAUAUUAUAAUUGGUGUUUUGUUAAUGUAUAUUUCUUAGUGAUAUUCACUAUUUCUUAAAAUGUUAAUUGUGAUGCAUGAAUUUGAGAAAACUGAUUAUAUAGUUUAUACAAUUUGGUAAAGUUAGAUGUAAAUAAGUAUACAGCAGAUCAAACAAUACAGUUGCAUCGAUGACAAUACAUCAUCACUUUAUAAAGUAUAGAAGUUUUUAGUUUAAGUAUCAAUGACAAAUGUGUAAUGAAGUUAAGGGACAUGGAAUGAUUUUUCUUUGAUGGUAAUUCUCUCUAUAUGUUAUCGAAUACGACUUUGCAAAUAUGAAAACGUUGAAACAGCCUAAGAUGUAAGCAUAAAGGAGUACAAUACUGUAUGCUCUUUUGUUAUUCAUAAACUCGCAUUUCAAUAGUGUACACAUUGUAAAAAUGUGUCUUGAAUCCCCUUGAGCUGUAUAAUAAGUACAUAGACUACUUCCUUUAGUGGAUAUGCUAUUUCAAAUGUUUCAGCUUAUUUUUAGAUUAUUGCUCAAAAUAUAAGAUAUACAUUUUUUGUGUACUAGUAUUUUUAAUAUAAAUAUCCAUUUGAUUUAUAUUCAUAUUCAUUCUAAAAAGAAGCUGGUUUCAGAAACUUUGCCCUCCAUGUAAGUUUACUUAGCUUGGGGAUGCAUUAGUAAAUAGAUUUUGUAAUAUGUUGAGUUAGCAUUAUUCUAUAAAAUGUCGAGGGUCGUACGUACGAAUAGUCAUGAGAAGCGAGUACAUAAUUAUCGAGUGGUAUAUACUGCGUGUGUUGAGAACGAAUGAAUGUAUUAAGUUAAGAAUUCUAUCAGUUAUUCAUGAUAACGAUAAACUAUGUAAAGAGUUUAAUAAUACUUACUAAUAAAAUAAAAAAUACUAUUAUAAAUACA